UUAUAAAUGUUAAAUUUUCUACUGAGUUAUUAAUAGUUAUGUUCUUUAAAAUUAAAGAUUUUGGCGGUAUUUUAGUCUAUUCAGAGGAACCUGUUCUAUAAUCGAUGGUCCACGAUUAGAUUUACCAAAAUUUUUAAUUUAUAUAUCGUCGUAGUUUGAGUAUUUUAUAAGAAUUUAAAUAUUCAAAAUUUUUUAUUAAAAAUUAAAUCAGAUCAAGGUAUAGUUUAUGUUUUGGAAGAAAUGGGUUACUUUAAUUUUAUUUAUGGAAAAAUAAUUUUAAAUUUUUUUUGAAAUUGGAUUUGAUAGUAAUUUUUAAAUAUUUAUAAAAUGAUUAUAGCUCUAAAAUAUG
rnacentral:rRNA from 1 species